rnacentral:misc_RNA from 1 species
GAAAUGCGAUAAGUAGUGUGAAUUGCAGAAUUCAGUGAAUCAUCGAAUCUUUGAACGCACAUUGCGCCCUAUGGUAUUCCGUAGGGCAUGCCUGUUCGAGCGUCAUUUACACCUUCAAGCCUUGCUUGGUGUUGGGUGACUGUGGCCCCUUUGGGGCCACUCGCCUUAAAGUCAUUGGCGGCCGGUUCGUUGGCUUUGUAGCGCAGCACAAUUGCGUCCUCGAAGCCGCUGGACCAGCUCCCAGAAGCUAAUUUUAAAUGUUUGACCUCGAAUCAGGUAGGGAUACCUGCUGAACUUAAGC